CCGGGUUGCGGACAGUGUCUGGUGGGUAGUUUGACUGGGGCGGUCUCCUCCCAAAGAGUAACGGAGGAGCACGAAGGUUGGCUAAUCCUGGUCGGACAUCAGGAGGUUAGUGCAAUGGCAUAAGCCAGCUUGACUGCGAGCGUGACGGCGCGAGCAGGUGCGAAAGCAGGUCAUAGUGAUCCGGUGGUUCUGAAUGGAAGGGCCAUCGCUCAACGGAUAAAAGGUACUCCGGGGAUAACAGGCUGAUACCGCCCAAGAGUUCAUAUCGACGGCGGUGUUUGGCACCUCGAUGUCGGCUCAUCACAUCCUGGGGCUGAAGUAGGUCCCAAGGGUAUGGCUGUUCGCCAUUUAAAGUGGUACGCGAGCUGGGUUUAGAACGUCGUGAGACAGUUCGGUCCCUAUCUGCCGUGGGCGCUGGAGAAUUGAGGGGGGCUGCUCCUAGUACGAGAGGACCGGAGUGGACGCAUCACUGGUGUUCGGGUUGUCAUGCCAAUGGCACUGCCCGGUAGCUAAAUGCGGAAGAGAUAAGUGCUGAAAGCAUCUAAGCACGAAACUUGCCCCGAGAUGAGUUCUCCCUGAGACUUUAAGUCUCCUGAAGGAACGUUAAAGACGAUGACGUUGAUAGGUCGGGUGUGUAAGCGCAGCGAUGCGUUGAGCUAACCGAUACUAAUGAACCGUGAGGCUUAACCUUACAACGCCGAAGGUGUUU
rnacentral:rRNA from 1 species